rnacentral:rRNA from 1 species
AAACUGCUUUUGUACGGAACGAAAGGCUCUGCCCUAAUACGGCGGAGAUAUGACGGUACCGUAAGAAUAAGCACCGGCUAACUACGUGCCAGCAGCCGCGGUAAUACGUANGGUGCAAGCGUUAAUCGGAAUUACUGGGCGUAAAGCGUGCGCAGGCGGUUAUAUAAGUCAGAUGUGAAAUCCCCGGGCUCAACCUGGGAACUGCAUUUGAGACUGUAUAGCUGGAGUACGGCAGAGGGGGAUGGAAUUCCGCGUGUAGCAGUGAAAUGCGUAGAUAUGCGGAGGAACACCGAUGGCGAAGGCAAU